rnacentral:sRNA from 1 species
GCGGAGACAAAAUGUUUCCGUUCACUCCUCACACCACACUCCGCCCCAGCGAUCGCUGGGGCGGUU